rnacentral:rRNA from 1 species
GGGUCAGUAGGUUGGUCGUGCCACCGGUACGUACUGGUCUCACUGAUUCCUCCUCCCUGAAGAACCGUAAUGCCAUUAAUUUGGUGUUGCGGGGAAACAGGACUGUUACUUUGAAAAAAUUAGAGUGUUUAAAGCAGGCUAACGCUUGAAUACAUUAGCAUGGAAUAAUGAAAUAGGACGAUCGAUCCUAUUUUGUUGGUUUCUAGGAUUGACGUA